rnacentral:snRNA from 1 species
GUGCUCGCUUUGGCAGCACAUAUACUAAAAUUGGAAUAAUACAGACAUUAGUAUGGUCCCUGCGCAAGGAUGACACGCAGAUUUGUGAAGCAUUCUAUAUAUAU